GAUGAACGCUAGCGGCAGGCCUAAUACAUGCAAGUCGAACGAGCUUAGUUCUUUCGGGAACUAGGUUAGUGGCGCACGGGUGCGUAACGCGUAUGCAACCUACCUUCCACUGGGGGAUAGCCCACCGAAAGGUGGAUUAAUACCGCAUGACACAUUUGGGUGGCAUCACCUGAUUGUCAAAGCUGAGGCGGUGGAAGAUGGGCAUGCGUGCCAUUAGCUAGUUGGUAGGGUAACGGCCUACCAAGGCGACGAUGGCUAGGGGUUCUGAGAGGGUGGUCCCCCACACUGGUACUGAGACACGGACCAGACUCCUACGGGAGGCAGCAGUAGGGAAUAUUGGGCAAUGGCCGAGAGGCUGACCCAGCCAUGCCGCGUACAGGAAGAAGGCCUUCUGGGUUGUAAACUGCUUUUAUCUAGGAAGAAAACGCCCUUGCGAGGGUAACUGACGGUACUAGAUGAAUAAGCACCGGCUAACUCCGUGCCAGCCGCCGCCGUAA
rnacentral:rRNA from 1 species